AGGAAGACUGCCCUUGAUAGGGACUAUACCAAGUUCUUCUUUGCAGCAAAACCUCAGGGUUUUGAGUCUCGUAUUCACAUCUUUUUACUAAGAAGGGCUCCUCCAGACUCCUGGUGUAUAUUUGUUGGAGGCCUUAAGGUACAUGGUAAGCAGAGAGCAUCACACCUGAGCAGCAUUCUUACUCAGCUCAACAGCAAUAUCUGAGCCUGAGUUUCCCAUUCCAAUCACCAGGAUGCGUUUUCCCUCAAAUCCAUCUGGAUGCUUGUAUUGGCGGCUAUGGAAAUAUUGGCCUUUGAACCUCUCCAUACCUUCAGGGGGAAGAAGAGAGAAGUCUGUGAGCUCCAGAGCAACUAUGUCAAGCUAAUUUCAAUAAAACUGCAUUGCCAGCUUUUCCUUUCUGGAGUUAA
rnacentral:lncRNA from 10 species